GAUGAACGCUAGCGGCAGGCCUAAUACAUGCAAGUCGAACGGUAAGUAUUUUAGCAAUAGAAUACGAGAGUGACGUACGGGUGCGUAACACGUAUGCAACCUACCCUUUACAGGAGGAUAGCUCGGGGAAACUCGAAUUAACCCUCCAUGAGAUCACAGUGUGGCAUCACACAGUGAUUAAAACUCCGGUGGUAAAGGAUGGGCAUGCGUCUGAUUAGUUAGUUGGCGGGGUAACGGCCCACCAAGACGAUGAUCAGUAGGGGAACUGAGAGGUUGAUCCCCCACACUGGCACUGAGAUACGGGCCAGACUCCUACGGGAGGCAGCAGUAGGGAAUAUUGGUCAAUGGAUGGAAGUCUGAACCAGCCAUGCCGCGUGCAGGAAGAAGGCCUUCUGGGUUGUAAACUGCUUUUGCCAGGGGAUAAAAAGACCAUGCGUGGUUAAUUGAAGGUACCUGAUGAAUAAGCCACGGCUAACUACGUGCCAGCAGCCGCGGU
rnacentral:rRNA from 1 species